UACGGAGGGUGCAAGCGUUGCUCGGAAUUAUUGGGCGUAAAGGGUAGGUAGGUGGUCUCAUUUGUCUGGGGUGAAAGCCUUGAGCUUAACUCAAGAAGUGCCCCAGAAACGGUGAGACUAGAGUUCUGGAGAGGGUCGUGGAAUUCCCGGUGUAGCGGUGAAAUGCGUAGAGAUCGGGAGGAACACCAGAGGCGAAAGCGGCGACCUGGACAGAUACUGACACUCAACUACGAAAGCGUGGGGAGCAAACAGG
rnacentral:rRNA from 1 species